UACGUAGGGUGCAAGCGUUGUCCGGAAUUAUUGGGCGUAAAAGAGCUUGUAGGCGGUUUUGUCGCGUCUGCUGUGAAAUUUCGGGGCUCAACCCCCGAACUUGCAGUGGGGUACGGGCAGACUAGAGUGUGGUAGGGGAGACUGGAAUUCCUGGUGUAGCGGUGAAAUGCGCAGAUAUCAGGAGGAACACCGAUGGCGAAGGCAGGUCUCUGGGCCACUACUGACGCUGAGAAGCGAAAGCAUGGGGGAGCGAACAGG
rnacentral:rRNA from 1 species